rnacentral:rRNA from 1 species
GAUGAACGCUGGCGGCGUGCCUAAUACAUGCAAGUCGAGCGAAUGGAUUAAGAGCUUGCUCUUAUGAAGUUAGCGGCGGACGGGUGAGUAACACGUGGGUAACCUGCCCAUAAGACUGGGAUAACUCCGGGAAACCGGGGCUAAUACCGGAUAACAUUUUGAACCGCAUGGUUCGAAAUUGAAAGGCGGCUUCGGCUGUCACUUAUGGAUGGACCCGCGUCGCAUUAGCUAGUUGGUGAGGUAACGGCUCACCAAGGCAACGAUGCGUAGCCGACCUGAGAGGGUGAUCGGCCACACUGGGACUGAGACACGGCCCAGACUCCUAUGGGAGGCAGCAGUAGGGAAUCUUCCGCAAUGGACGAAAGUCUGACGGAGCAACGCCGCGUGAGUGAUGAAGGCUUUCGGGUCAUAAAACUCUGUUGUUAGGGAAGAACAAGUGCUAGUUGAAUAAGCUGACACCUUGACGGUACCCAACCAGAAAGCCACGGCUAACUACGUGCCAGCAACCGCGGUAA